CCGUGGUUGUGGCUGCCAUUUCCUGCUGCCUGUUCAGGCCUUGGGCUUUGCUGUUUUCUUACCAAUUGUAGUUUAAAGCCUCACUCCACGGAUUUCCUAGGAUCAAAUUCAGCUUCCCUCACACCUCCCAGGGUGCAGUUUCUGCUAAGCUGGAGCAGUUGAUCAGUCACCAGAACAUUAAGGACCUUCCUUGUAGGACGGUAGAGCAGAGAAGCCAUGACACAGAGCAGGCCCAGAGGGAUUUGCACAGUUCCUUCACAAACCACAGCUGUGCGUGGUCUUCCCUCAUCUUUGUCAGAGCCUUGUGGAAUGCUCUGACACAGGGAUGUGAAGUGUCCUGCGUCAGUCCAUUUCAAAACAGUGUGCUCUAGAGUGUUUAUGUGAUGCAGUUUCCUCUGCCACACAGAACCUGAUGGGUGUUUGCCUAGAGCUGGAUAUCCUGCAGCAUGAGGUGAACGAGUGAUGGUUUUUCUCAUACCCUGAGUGGUGGUUUGUGUCUGCCUAUGCUCUGGUGUCAGUGUCAGUCCAGCUGCUGUCACUUCUACCAAGAGAGCAGCCCCCUACCUGUUGGCAAUAUCCUUUGUGUGAUUGCACAGUGACCUGAUCCAGCUGAGAGCCAGGAAAAAAAAGAAGUGCAGGGGGGCAGGGGGAAGUUAGUUUUCAGUGGGAUCAGUUCCUUGCUCCAAACACUUGCACAAGCGAAACAGAAGACUUGGCCUGGGCACAAGAAGAAACAGCGUGGGCAGAGAGGGAACACAGUGUCCACAUCAGCUAAAACUGAUACUGGUAUCAUGUAUGUCGAAAAAUACCCUGAGGGCUCUUGAUAUGAAAGUUGUUGAGACAUAAUCUUCCACACCUAGACACUUCUGAACUUACCUGGGAUGAUCACAACUACACUUGAGACUUCCUGCAGACCCAUGGAAAUGAAUCUUUUAAGUCUAUGGUUUGCCCUCGAGACUUUUGUCACAUGUUGAAGCCUUGACCAUCCAAAGAGUAUAAACCUGUAUAAAACUGUAUUUUAUACACAGUGCAUAAAGUAGAAGGCACACAUCAGGCUGCUUUCAACUACUACUUUUUGCUGGAUAGAAAACCACCACAGCUCAGCUUGGGACCUCGCAGGGGAACAUCAACACAAGGGUUCCUUGGCUUCAGCCUCUGUAUGCCUUUGGAUGGGAACACCACCCAUUCCUGCAGGUGUGACGGGAUAUUUGGAAAGACAGAUGUGAAGGCAUGGAGAAAUGUGGCUGGAUCAGAAUUCAGCAAAGCUGCUGCAAGACCACUUGGAACAGUUGCAGUGCCUUGACCCAGUGAGAUAGAUCUGUGUAGUUCAUUUGGAUGUGUGGAGAGGGAAGUCAAGAUUGAAACUUAAAUCUGGAGCUCUGUGCUGCAUGCAAGUAAGCAAGGGGUGCUUUUCAAGGGUGGAGAAACCACUUUGAAAGGUUAUGUUAUAAAAAUAUAGGUGUCAAGUGCUAUAUUUGCCACUCCUGGUUCAGGCUAAAUGCAUUUUACAGUGUUCUUAAAAUCGAGGCAUUUGAUUUAACAUGGUUUAAUGGAUUUGUGUGUCCUCAGUCUGCCAUGAACUGACUUAAAACCAGGACAAUUUCGACGUAUAAACAAGACAUAAAAAAAAAGGAAAAUGAAAAAAAUCUUAAUAGGUUGUGUCUCUUCUUCAUCUUUAGUUAGUCAGGAAUUAUUUCCUAUGUGCAGUAGGUGUGGUCCAUUAUAGAACUACAGU